rnacentral:rRNA from 1 species
UACGUAGGGGGCAAGCGUUGUCCGGAUUUAUUGGGCGUAAAGCGCACGUAGGCGGUUCGUUAAGUCGGAUGUGAAAGCCCUCGGCUCAACUGAGGAAGUGCACCCGAAACUGGCGAGCUUGAGUACGAAAGAGGAUCGCGGAAUUCCCGGUGUAGAGGUGAAAUUCGUAGAUAUCGGGAGGAACACCGGUGGCGAAGGCGGCGAUCUGGGUCGAUACUGACGCUGAGGUGCGAAAGCAUGGGGGAGCGAACAGG